rnacentral:rRNA from 1 species
UACGAUGGGGGCUAGCGUUGUUCGGAAUUAUUGGGCGUAAAGAGCUCGUAGGCGGUCUGUCGCGUCGGAUGUGAAAACUCGGGGCUCAACCCCGGGCCUGCAUUCGAUACGGGCAGACUAGAGUUCGGCAGGGGAGACUGGAAUUCCUGGUGUAGCGGUGAAAUGCGCAGAUAUCAGGAGGAACACCGGUGGCGAAGGCGGGUCUCUGGGCCGAAACUGACGCUGAGGAGCGAAAGCGUGGGGAGCAAACAGG